AUUGAACGCUGGCGGCAGGCUUAACACAUGCAAGUCGAGCGAGAGGCGGACGGGUGAGUAAUGUCUGGGACACUGCCUGAUGGAGGGGGAUCACUACUGGAAACGGUAGCUAAUUACGCAUUCCAUAAGAUGUGCCCAGAUGGGAUUGGCUAGUGGGUGGGGGAAUGGCUCACCUAGGCGACGAUCCCUAGCUGGUCUGAGAGGAUGACCAGCCACACGGGAACUGAGACACGGUCCAGACUCCUACGGGAGGCAGCAGUGGGGAAUAUUGCACAAGGGGCGAAAGCCUGAUGCAGCCAUGCCGCGUGUGUGAAGAAGGCCUUCGGGUUGUAAAGCACUUUCAGCGAGGAGGCGUUACUCGCAGAAGAAGCACCGGCUAACUCCGUGCCAGCAGCCGCGGUAAUAC
rnacentral:rRNA from 1 species